UGGUGUUUAAUGUACCAAAAGGUUGUUUAAGAAUAUUACCACCAUAGAAUAUAAUUUAGCUAACCGGCUUGCACAACUAUUACCUUCCCUCAAGGAAUGAUGGAAAGACAAGAGCCAAGGAUAAUCAAUGAACCUCUUGAUGAGGUCAAUAACAGGUGCGUAAAGGUGAGUUGUAUGAACUUCAUCCUGAAUAAAAUUCAAAUCCGAUUGACAAUCCGAUUCACACUCAACAUAUCGAUAACCAAUGUUCCAAGCCAUCUGGAAGCUAUGUAAGAUCGCUUGCAACUCAGCAUUAAUAUUAGUAGUGAUACCACCACUACCCGAGAAACCCAGUAAAGGUGGCUAGUAGGCACUUGAUACAACACUUUUUUACAUCCUAUGAGGUGAAAAUAAUAUUUAAAAAGAGAUAUACAUUAAAGAAAAAUGUUAUUUAAACAAAAAAAAAUUUAGCAAAACUUACAAAAGUUACAUUUUCUGUUUUUUUUAAUAUUUAUUGCACGUUUUGAUAUCCGUGAUUUCGUGUUGUGAGUGGAGAGAAUACGAUGUCAUAUUUUUGUCCAAUUUUUUUUAUGUUUAUACAGUACAUCUGUACAUUAAAUUGAAACAAUAACACAAUGUAUACAAAAACAUUGAUAUAUCAUAUGACGCGGUUUCAACAUUGAUUAAUGCUAAUGGACAGCACCAGAAAAAAAAAAAUCAUAGUGGUGGAUUGUUAUUUAAAAAAAUCCAAGAGACAAUAAUUCCCAUAGGUAUCUCACUCACAAUACAAAACCAAAACACCCUUAAUACAAUACAAAAAGCAACUAACUUUAAUUUACUGAGAGGAGCUUCACAUAUUAAAAUGUGGGUAAAGUCAAAACAUUGAA
rnacentral:lncRNA from 1 species